UGAACGCUGGCGGCGUGCCUAAUACAUGCAAAUCGAGCGAACAGAUGCGGAGCUUGCUCCUCUGACGUUAGCGGCGGACGGGUGAGUAACACGUGGAUAACCUACCUAUAAGACUGGGAUAACUUCGGGAAGCCGGAGCUAAUACCGGAUAAUAUAUUGAACCGCAUGGUUCAAUAGUGAAAGACGGUUUUGCUGUCACUUAUAGAUGGAUCCGCGCCGCAUUAGCUAGUUGGUAAGGUAACGGCUUACCAAGGCAACGAUGCGUAGCCGACCCGAGAGGGUGAUCGGCCACACUGGAACUGAGACACGGUCCAGACUCCUACGGGAGGCAGCAGUAGGGAAUCUUCCGCAAUGGGCGAAAGCCUGACGGAGCAACGCCGCGUGAGUGAUGAAGGUCUUCGGAUCGUAAAACUCUGUUAUUAGGGAAGAACAAAUGUGUAAGUAACUAUGCACGUCUUGACGGUACCUAAUCAGAAAGCCACGGCUAACUACGUG
rnacentral:rRNA from 1 species